AUGUUUUUAAUGAGACGAUGAAGGCAUCCGAGGGUUAUACUGUCUCCUUUUUCUAAUCAUGAAACUAAUCUUCCCGUGAAGAAGCGGGAAUAAUUUUAUAAGACGAGAAGACCCUAUGGAGCUUUAAAUAAACAACAAAUAUCUACUUAUCUAAAUUAAGAAAACCAAAAUUAUCAGAUAUAUGAUUGCUAGUUUUAGGUUGGGGUGACCAUGGAGAACAAUACAACCCCCAUGUCGAAAUGAUUUUAAAAUUAGCUGCGAGUAACAACUCCGGCAUCAACACCUUGACGUCAAUUGACCCAAUUUUUAUCAAGAACCAAGUUCCCUGAUACAGCGCA
rnacentral:rRNA from 1 species